rnacentral:rRNA from 1 species
AGUCGAGGGGCAGCAUGAUUGAAGCUUGCUUCAAUUGAUGGCGACCGGCGCACGGGUGAGUAACGCGUAUCCAACCUUCCGUACACUCAGGGAUAGCCUUUCGAAAGAAAGAUUAAUACCCGAUGGUAUGAUGAGAUUGCAUGAUAGCAUCAUUAAAGAUUUAUCGGUGCACGAUGGGGAUGCGUUCCAUUAGGUAGUAGGCGGGGUAACGGCCCACCUAGCCGACGAUGGAUAGGGGUUCUGAGAGGAAGGUCCCCCACAUUGGAACUGAGACGCGGUCCAAACUCCUACGGGGGGCAGCAGUGAGGAAUAUUGGUCAAUGGACGAGAGUCUGAACCAGCCAAGUAGCGUGAAGGAUGAAGGUCCUACGGAUUGUAAACUUCUUUUAUAAGGGAAUAAAACCUCCCACGUGUGGGAGCUUGUAUGUACCUUAUGAAUAAGCAUCGGCUAACUCCGUGCCAGCAGCCGCGGUAAUACGGAGGAUGCGAGCGUUAUCCGGAUUUAUUGGGUUUAAAGGGAGCGCAGACGGGUCGUUAAGUCAGCUGUGAAAGUUUGGGGCUCAACCUUAAAAUUGCAGUUGAUACUGGCGUCCUUGAGUGCGGUUGAGGUGUGCGGAAUUCGUGGUGUAGCGGUGAAAUGCUUAGAUAUCACGAAGAACUCCGAUUGCGAAGGCAGCACACUAAGCCGUAACUGACGUUCAUGCUCGAAAGUGUGGGUAUCAAACAGGAUUAGAUACCCUGGUAGUCCAC